GACCUUUUCGAAUCAUUGAGUGCAUUGGACCAGUGGCAUACUGCCUUGCUUUAUUCCAAAAAUUUACGGGUCUAUAUGACGUCUUUUACGUCUCGAUACUUAAGAGGUACCACCCUAAUCCCUCUCAUGUUAUUCCUCAUGAUGAGGUGUAGGUAUAAGCCGACAUGACUUAUGAGGAGGUUCCUGUAGAGAUUCUUGGGUGGACCAAUAAAGU
rnacentral:lncRNA from 1 species